rnacentral:lncRNA from 1 species
AAAUGUCCCAGAAGCUGAUCGAUGUCUUUGUGCUCCUGCUGUGUUAAUUUGGGCUGUGCUUCAGCCUUCUCUCCCUGGGCUCUUGCAGUUGCAGUAUCUCUUGGGUGCUGUGCAGAACGGAAUCAGGCAGCCAAGCCUCAGGUUUCCCUUCUCCCUGACCCUCUACGCUGCUGGUGUGGCACAGCAGAUCCUGAAGCAGGUACUGAAACUUGCUGCAUGUGUCACUGCUGGGGUGAAAAACGGAGCCUUGGGGAGUGUUGAUCUCCUCACCUUCUCUGUGCUCGUGCAUUCUUGACUGAGCUUUUCCUGCUGGGCAAGAGAAGGGGAGGGUGGGCAGCACUCAGAAUGAGCCUCGGAGCAAAGGCCUUCUGCAGUUGCUGGGCUGUUCUCCCAGCUUGGAGCGCUGCACACUCACCGCAGCUCCACAAAUUGUCAUCCGUGCUUGUGGAUUGGCAGCACUGUCCUCCUACACAAUGCCAGCUUUCUCUCUUUGCAGAGGAGCACGUGUACAUAAAGGUAAAGAGAUUCUUUCUGUCACACCAGUAUUUGGACCUGAGGAAGGUACCAGUUUUUUUCCAGCUUUUCUACAGUUUUGAUUCUGAGUACAAAACAGCAUGA